rnacentral:rRNA from 1 species
UACGUAGGGCGCAAGCGUUGUCCGGAUUCACUGGGCGUAAAGGGUGCGUAGGCGGGAGAGUAAGUCCGCGGUGAAAUCUCACGGCUUAACCGUGAAACUGCCGUUGAUACUGCUUUUCUUGAGUUCGGGAGAGGUUGAUGGAAUUCCAGGUGUAGCGGUGAAAUGCGUAGAUAUCUGGAAGAACACCAGUGGCGAAGGCGGUCAACUGGCCCGAAACUGACGCUGAGGCACGAAAGCGUGGGGAGCGAACAGG